UUGUCCUACGGGGCGCAGCAGUAGGGAAUUUUCGUCAAUGGGCGCAAGCCUGAACGAGCAAUGCCGCGUGAACGAGGAAGGUCUUCGGAUCGUAAAGUUCUGUUGAAGGGGAAAAAGAGCGGAGAGAGGAAAUGGUCUCCGAUUGAUAUUACCCUUCGAGGAAGUCACGGCUAACUACGUGCCAGCAGCCGCGGUAAUACGUAGGUGGCAAGCGUUAUCCGGAAUGAUUGGGCGUAACGGGGGCGUAGGCGGCCUGCUACGUCUGGAGUGAAAGGUAUCGGCUCAACCGGUACAGGCUCUGGAAA
rnacentral:rRNA from 1 species